UACAGAGGGUGCAAGCGUUAAUCGGAAUUACUGGGCGUAAAGCGUGCGUAGACGGUUAUUUAAGUCAGGUGUGAAAGCCCCGGGCUCAACCUGGGAAUUGCAUUUGAGACUGAAUAGCUAGGGUGCGGAAGAGGGAAGCGGAAUUUCCGGUGUAGCGGUGAAAUGCGUAGAUAUUCGCAAGAACACCAGUGGCGAAGGCGGACUCACUGGCCCGAUACUGACGCUGAGGUGCGAAAGCGUGGGGAGCA
rnacentral:rRNA from 1 species